rnacentral:lncRNA from 1 species
CGGGUGCUUAGACGGACACGGGCUAUAGCCCGCCAUUCCUGCCGAAGCCUGAUUAUUAUAUAUAUAUGUAAAUAAAACAAAUGCUGCCUGUUUAGAUAAUCUAAUAUAAUGGCUUGACAAUCUUGGGAUUUAUUUGUUUUAUUUUUAAACAGGGUUGAAGCAGAGGCAUUUAUUCCAUCUUGUUAGGUGAAAGAUGGAUGUUUAUUUUGUUCAACUGGUGUUCAUGCAAUGAAAACUGCCUAUAAUCAUUUUCCAAUCGAUGAUUUCUGCAACAAGCUCAGACUUAAAAGAGUUAAAGUAACUGGAGUUACUAAAAGAUAAAGAAGUAUGCAAAGGAUUUAAUUUCCCAACUACAGAGUACUCCAACGAAUUAAAGUUUUGGUGGAUAAGGAUCGAGGAAUAAUAUGGUUUUAACUGGUUUCCAUCUUAUGAACAAAAUUCUGUAUCUCAAUAAUAUCCUGACCUAUCGAAUCGAUAUCUUGGUAAUACACUUUCACAAAUUAAUCUUUUAAAAAAAUGUUUAUAUU